rnacentral:rRNA from 1 species
CCUACGGGGGGCUGCAGUAAGGAAUAUUGGGCAAUGGACGAAAGUCUGACCCAGCCAUGCCGCGUGGAGGAUGAAGGUCCUCUGGAUUGUAAACUUCUUUUUUCUGUAAAGAAACCCACGGUUUCCACUGUGGUUGACGGUAACAGAAGAAUAAGCACCGGCUAACUCCGUGCCAGCAGCCGCGGUAAUACGGAGGGUGCAAGCGUUAUCCGGAUUCACUGGGUUUAAAGGGAGCGUAGGCGGGCAGGUAAGUCAGUGGUGAAAUCCCCGAGCUU